rnacentral:misc_RNA from 1 species
GAUGAAGAACGCAGCGAAAUGCGAUAAGUAAUGUGAAUUGCAGAAUUCAGUGAAUCAUCGAAUCUUUGAACGCACCUUGCGCCCUUUGGCCAUUCCGAAGGGCAUGCCUGUUUGAGUAUCAUGAACACCUCAACUCUUCAUGGUUUUCCAUGAUGAGCUUGGACUUGGGGGGUCUUGCUGGCCUGUGGGUCGGCUCCUCUCAAAUGAAUCAGCUUGCCGGUUUUUGGUGGGCAUCACAGGUGUGAUAACUAUCUACGCUUGUGGUUUUCCACCAGGGUAACCUUCAGCAGUGGAGGUUCACUGGAGCUUACAAAUGUCUCUCCUCUGUGAGGACAGCCCUUUGAAUGUUUGAUCUCAAAUCAGGUAGGACUACCCGCUGAACUUAAGCAUAUCAAUAAGCGGAGGA